UCUCCAAGCCAAACUACUACUCUUUUUAUCUCUCUAUAUUUAAGGUCUAUCCUUAUCAUCUAUUCAUCAUGGGUCCCUGCUCCUGCAACUGCUGCUCCGGUGACUGCAACUCUUGCUCUUGCGCUAGCUGCAAGGUAUGUUCCUCCUUUCU
rnacentral:sRNA from 1 species